UAGGUUUAAAAACGUCUCAGACCUGCAAACUGAGCAGAGUUAGUCUGUGUAACACAGGGACUCCCAGGUCUGGUACUUCUGCCGUUCCUGUUUCUGUUAUUUCAUCCUGUUUGUUUAGACUGGGAAACCUUUCGGGCAGGGACUGUCUCUCAUUGUAGACCUACAGCCUGAUUAACCAGGGCCGUAUGCACUGAUUUUUUUUUUUUCCAUGAACGCAGUACUUGCCUGUUCGCCUUUCUCCACCCAACUGCUUCUGUGUUUACUUUGUCUUGUGGCCCCUGUUUGGGAAAACACUCUUUUGGAAGAAUUCCUGAGGCACAGGCUGAGCGGUAAUCACAGGAGUCGGUGAUUUCCUGACUUGGGUUUUAAGCUGUAAGCUCUUUGGGAGGAGGAUUGAGAGUCCUAUAGUUAUGAAGAGCACCUAGGACAUCUGGGGCUUUAGUGAAACAUGAAGAUGUAACUAAUGACUGUCGAGGUCUUUCUGCCAGCAACGUGGGCCAAAAAGCACCAACUCUGCUCCCAAGUCCUCCAGGAACCUCACAGGACUAUCAAGAAAAGAAAAAACACUCUGUGUGUAUUGGCUCUCGGACAGGAGCUCUCGCCAUGAGAUCUGUGGACUGUGGACACGCUGCAUGGACUGUUUCCAAGAUCUCAGUAAAAGACUUAGAAACAUCAAAAUAACUUGCUUUGAAAUUUCUGAAGAGAAGCAUUUUGACUUCUUUGAAGCUGAUUGCACAAGAAAGUCCAGACUCAGGAACAGAGGUUUGAAAGACCUCUCAGCCUCAAUCAGGGUGAGCAUUUGAACUGACAUGUGUUGCAUCUUGAGACUGUAGCCAAACCACAGGCUGUGGGACAACCGGCAAUAAGGCUCUCCUAAUUCUUCUGCUCAUGUUAUAACGAUAUAUAAAUUAUUUACACUGUUCAGUGAACCAUACGGAGCAGGAANNNNNNNNNNNNNGCAGGAAUGGCUAUAUCUAUAUGGCUAAUUUAUCUGGCCUGGGAGUCAGGAGCUGGUGGUUCAGAGUGUUUGUGUCCAUGCUGCUGAGGGCUAUAUUAUGCAAAGCAAGUUAACCUGGACUGUAUGACAUGGCACUUGACCCUGCCUCAGCUUGGCCCUGCAUGUUGUGCUUGUGGCUCUAAGACAGAAUUAGUAUUUCUGUAGGGUUUUUUUCCCCCCACCAGGUCAAAAUGCUUGACACAAUGAUGAUAUUGCUCACCAGAGUUGUGUUUCCAUAGUGUAAAAUGGGCAAGGUAUGUUGCAUGCUAUGGGUUGAGAAAUAAGAGCAUUCAGGAGAGCUGGAGGAUGGACGGGCUAUUGGGGUCGUGCUGGAAGAGAAUCAUGUGGGAAGGGAGGCAGAGCUUGCCCAUACUGCUCUUGAAAGCUGCUCUUGGAGUGCAGAGCAGCACUGCUCUGGGUUUGGAGAGCUGUUCAACUCCAAAGAAGAGCCUGGGCACAUGCUAACAAUCAUGAUGGGGGCAAUCAGGGACAAGGACCGUGACUCAGCUGGGGAGUUAAAUUAUUUGAUGGUGUAGGCACAUCUGAUGGGCACGUCCACAUAGCUAACUAAGGGAACAGGCUCAAGCACUGGACUUUACUCAUUCUCACUGCUUGGUUUUAGCUAACUCUGUGGCUUGGGUUUGGAUCACUCCACCCAGCUGUUUCCAAGACAAGUCUCCUCUUUAGGGAGCAAGCUGUAGGUGGCUGUGAGCCAGGCAGUGCUGCUUUGCCCUCUUUUAUUUAACAGCGUAGGCAGAGCCAGCUAAGCUGGUCUCCUGCCUUGCUGCGCUCCAGACCAUAUCAUG
rnacentral:lncRNA from 1 species